rnacentral:lncRNA from 1 species
AAAGGAAGUUCCUGGAAUGGGCGCGACAAAAUGCAGUUCACGAUCUCAGGGUAGAAAAUGACGAUUCUGAUCGGUCAAAAAUCUUCCCCAACGUCAAAAAUGGCAAAUGCACCGAACAAAAUGCAGUUUAAACGAUGAAAAAUGAUAGAGAAUGGAAGAACAGGGUCGUCGUUAACGGAGAAGAAGCAAAACGCAGGUCUGAAACUGUUUCGCGAAGAAGACGAAACUGUUUCGCGAUUUUUAUUUUUUUACCUUCAGAAGGAGAAUCUGCCGCGGUUCUACACUUAACC